UACAGGGGGUGCUAGCGUUGUUCGGAAUUACUGGGCGUAAAGGGCGCGUAGGCGGCCACCGCAAGUCGGUUGUGAAAUCUCUGGGCUUAACCCAGAAAGGUCAACCGAUACUGCGGGGCUAGAGUGCAGAAGGGGCAACUGGAAUUCUCGGUGUAGCGGUGAAAUGCGUAGAUAUCGAGAGGAACACCUGCGGCGAAGGCGGGUUGCUGGGCUGACACUGACGCUGAAGCGCGAAAGCUAGGGGAGCGAACGGG
rnacentral:rRNA from 1 species